GCGGGAUUCGUAUAGUGGCAGUACGGCGGUCUCCAAAACCGCAUGCGGGGGUUCGAUUCCUCCAUCCCGUGCCA
rnacentral:tRNA from 1 species